AGAGUUUGAUCAUGGCUCAGGACGAACGCUGGCGGCGUGCCUAAUACAUGCAAGUCGAGCGAAUCAUUGGGUGCUUGCUCCCGUUGGUUAGCGGCGGACGGGUGAGUAACACGUGGGCAACCUGCCUGUAAGACUGGGAUAACUUCGGGAAACCGGAGCUAAUACCGGAUAAUCCAUUCCCUCACAUGAGGGAAUGCUGA
rnacentral:rRNA from 1 species